GACGAACGCUGGCGGCGUGCCUAACACAUGCAAGUUGAGCGACGAACCAGGGCUUGCCCUGGGGCAAAGCAGCGAACGGGUGAGUAACACGUGGGUAACCUACCCCGAUAACCGGGACAACCCGAGGAAACUCGGGCUAAUACCGGAUGUGCUCACUGGACUUCGGUUCAGUGCGUAAAGGAAGCUUCGGCCUCCGUAUCGGGAGGGGCCCGCGGCCCAUUAGUUUGUUGGUGAGGUAACGGCUCACCAAGACCGCGAUGGGUAGCUGGUCUGAGAGGACGAUCAGCCACACUGGGACUGAGACACGGCCCAGACUCCUACGGGAGGCAGCAGUGGGGAAUCUUGCGCAAUGCGCGAAAGCGUGACGCAGCAACGCCGCGUGGGGGAAGAAGGCCUUCGGGUUGUAAACCCCUUUCAGGAGGGACGAAGGUUCGGCGGUGAAUAGCCGUCCGGACUGACGGUACCUCCACAAGAAGCCCCGGCUAACUACGUGC
rnacentral:rRNA from 1 species